GAUGAACGCUGGCGGCGUGCCUAAUACAUGCAAGUCGAGCGAACAGACGAGGAGCUUGCUCCUCUGACGUUAGCGGCGGACGGGUGAGUAACACGUGGAUAACCUACCUAUAAGACUGGGAUAACUUCGGGAAACCGGAGCUAAUACCGGAUAAUAUAUUUAACCGCAUGGUUCAAUAGUGAAAGACGGUUUUGCUGUCACUUAUAGAUGGAUCCGCGCCGCAUUAGCUAGUUGGUAAGGUAACGGCUUACCAAGGCAACGAUGCGUAGACGACCUGAGAGGGUGAUCGGCCACACUGGAACUGAGACACGGUCCAGACUCCUACGGGAGGCAGCAGUAGGGAAUCUUCCGCAGUGGGCGAAAGCUUGACGGAGCAACGCCGCGUGAGUGAUGAAGGUCUUCGGAUCGUAAAACUCUGUUAUUAGGGAAGAACAAAUGUGUAAGUAACUAUGCACGUCUUGACGGUACCUAAUCAGAAAGCCACGGCUAACUACGU
rnacentral:rRNA from 1 species